rnacentral:pre_miRNA from 1 species
AAGAGUUUGGGCUGGCGUCGACACGUGGCAUGAGACUAGUCAGUGGCAAUUUGCAGGUAGCAGGGCUUCUCAGCUUUUUCAGGGUAGCAGGGUUACUGCAAAUCGCCAAUUGGACUGGCUAGUCUCAUGUCACGUGUCGACGUCAGCCCAAACUCGU